rnacentral:rRNA from 1 species
AUGAACGCUGGCGGCGUGCUUAACCCAUGCCAGUCGAACGAUGAAGCCCAGCUUGCUGGGUGGAUUAGUGGCGAACGGGUGAGUAACACGUGAGUAACCUGCCCUUAACUCUGGGAUAAGCCUGGGAAACUGGGUCUAAUACCGGAUAGGAGCGUCCACCGCAUGGUGGGUGUUGGAAAGAUUUAUCGGUUUUGGAUGGACUCGCGGCCUAUCAGCUUGUUGGUGAGGUAAUGGCUCACCAAGGCGACGACGGGUAGCCGGCCUGAGAGGGUGACCGGCCACACUGGGACUGAGACACGGCCCAGACUCCUACGGGAGGCAGCAGUGGGGAAUAUUGCACAAUGGGCGCAAGCCUGAUGCAGCGACGCCGCGUGAGGGAUGACGGCCUUCGGGUUGUAAACCUCUUUCAGUAGGGAAGAAGCGAAAGUGACGGUACCUGCAGAAGAAGCACCGGCUAACUACGUG